AGGGCUAUCGCCAAGUGGUAAAGGCAUGGGACUUUGACUCCCACAUACGAGGGUUCAAAUCCCUCUAGCCCCG
rnacentral:tRNA from 1 species